GUAAGUCUCAGUUAGACAGAAAAACAAGACUGAAACGGAGGGUUUCAUCAUUCAACUUGCUUCUGUUUGCAUUGACCAUUUGUGUGUGUGUGUGUGUGUGUGUGUGUGUGUGUGCAUGUGCGUGCGUGCGUGUGCGUGCGUGUGCGUGCGUGUGCGUGCGUGUGCAUGCGUGUGCAUGUGCGUGUGCAUGCGUGUGCAUGUGCGUGCGUGCGUGUCUGUUCUUUUUGGUUUUGCCACACAGCCCACCAGACUGGUGAGUUAGUCUUUCUAGUGCAUGCUGUUUGAAGAAAUUGCUUUUCAGAAAUGCUUUCGGUUGAGAAUUUCUCAAACAAUGUUAUUCAUUGAUAGAUCAUGUAAUGCGCGACCGAGUAAGUCUCAGUUAGACAGAAAAACAAGACUGAAACGGAAGGGAAGACAAAACAACAACAGCUAAACUGGGAAACUGAAAGACGGAUUCAUAAUAUUAUGAUUAAAGUCCACCUACAGCUCCUAGCGCUAGCUAGCGAUCUCUUAAGGGCCCAGUCACACAUGCACUCGAAAGUAGCGUAUCUCUUAGCCUGUCAAACCCUAUAUUAUAGGGUUUUCAGCCGCGUGUUCUAUCUUGAGCUCUCUUGAGAGCCCACUUGGCUGCUAUGGCAACUAGACGCCUGGGCCUACAUACGUAGAAUGUACGUACGGUUCUCUUGCUGAAGACCGUGAUCAUUUUGUUGCUGUUUUCUUCGAGUACGGUUAGUUUUAGUGCAGCGCUGUCGUAACAUUUUCUAGACCCUAUAUCUAGGGUUUGAUUUUUCACGAUGGAGGAAGAGCAACUUGAGUUAGUGGAGACGAACUCGGGCGAUGAGAAUGUUCCUGGCGACCUGGUGUCGACUCAGGAUGAUGAUGUCGAUGUUCCAGCAGCGUCGGAUGCUCCUGAAGAAGAAGGCGAAGCAUCAACAGCGGCUGUCGCAGCUGCCGCUCCCGCCAUUGCCGUUUCUGCAUCAGCUGAUCCACACGUGGGUCGGAAGCAGCAAAUGCGGCGACACUCGCGCACGUCGUAGGAGCGCUCCUGCUAACAUCAAUGGCAAUGCAGUGAAAAUAUCAAAAAAAAACCAAGUGAAACUGUGUGUAUUGUGUGCCCAGUUGUGAGGACUGAUCAAACCCUUUCUUUAGGGGUCCUAACCCUAUAUAUAGGGUCUUUAUGUGUAGCGUUAUGUCAAACCCUAUAUAUAGGGUUUCCUGGUGACAGGCUAAGAGAUACGCUGAAGCGAGGUCGCAGGAGCGAAAAAUGGCAUGGCAACGGCGAAAAGCGGAACUUCCGCUUCAGCGGAAACUCCAAUCCGCUUCCACCAAAAUUUUUGAAGCGAGACUGUCGCUUCUGCGGAUUCGCUUCCGCGGAAAACACCACGGUCUGCUGUAUAUGGACUUGCUACGAGAAAUUUGUAUGCGUAUGAUGUCCAUGCAACAAAAAUGCGUGGAAGAUAGUCGAGACCUCGUCUAUUCUCCGUACCGUAUGUACCACAGUCCACUUUACUCUCAUUUUUCGCCAAAGUAGGAGUUGUGCCCUGUUUGCAUGUGUGACCAUACACACGUGGUGUCGCUGGAGCGACACCAGGCUCGCUGCCGCCGAACCUCGUCGCCGAAGCGAAACCCCAAUGCAUGUGUGACCGGGCCCUUAGAGACCUGAUGGUGCCAGCAAUGAAUAGUGCAAUACAUAGUGGUUUGUGUAGGAGGAAGUCCGUCUAAUACAGAUCAUUUCAAGUUUUUCUUAGUGCUCGCAAACUUCAUUGCAACUUUUAUUUCACACUGUGUUCAGCUGUCUCCAGCCACAGUCUCUGUUCACACUUGGAUGCCUAUCACAGAUGAACAUUGCCUCACAUAUACGGCGAUUCAUGGAGAAAACUGUGUGGCGAGAAUUGAUGCGCUUGUGAUGGGUAGUGCUGUUGUUUGUGGUGAUGCUCGUGGUGGUGUUGCUCGUGGUGGUGUUUGUGGCACAACAAGCCAUCGCCUGUUAUCAGCGCUGCCACUAUCCACACCAGACAGUGAGAUUUUCUGCACCUUUCUUCUGCACCUUUCUUCUGUGCAUUUCUUCUGAACAUUCUCCAGAGGAAGUUGAAUUGAAUGCUCACCCACAUGGAGUAUACAUCUCAUCAAGCUACAUUUCUCUAAAAACAGCUAUAAAUAUGCAAGAAGCUACCAGCCGUUGCAGAAAUGAUGCCGUGGCACCCAAUAAGAAUACCGUUUUUGAGAUCCAAUGGUACAACCAUUGGCCAAAUAUGCGAACGAAUGUGAACACACUUCUGAAUAACUAUCUGGUAGCGAUGAACAAAAACCAUAUCAUCGUACCUGUGCACUAUUCCUGGGGUGAUUACAGCCAUCCAGCGUCCUCAAAGAGGUGGGCGAAGUACUCGACAAAUACCUUUGAAGAGCUGGCUAGUCUGCCCACGGGAGAUCAGAUCACCGUCCUCUGCUCAACUAUAAGGAAGAAGUAAUUCAGCACCAUAUCAAGACCCGCUCUGAAGGAGGUACACAAUCACAAGCGUACUGGGCGUGUGUGUGUGUGUGUGUGUGUGUGUGUGUGUGUGUGUGUGUGUGUGUGUGCGUGCGUGUGUUGCAGCCAUCCCAGCGUCUGUCCUCUCCUCGUUUUGUCUUUCCCUCUCAGUUUCUCUCUCUCUAUGUCUCUCUCGCUCUCUCUCUAUGUACUUCUAAAACAAUAAAUAGCUAAAUGGUCUCGGUCAGAGCGAGGUGUCCACCCGGUCCUAGCUCAGGGUGUUACUGCCAAAAGUGUGUGAGGUAUCGCAAUACUCAUACUUUACAUUCUACGGUAGAGAGCCCUUGUGCCGCGUGCGCUUAGAUUCUUGCUUGCUUCAUGGCGUAUAUGGACACUCUAACCUUUCUGCCCCCCCCCCCCCCUCCCCCUCUCUCUCUCCAUCUCUCUAUAUCCAUCUCUCUAUUCUCUCACACCGCUCACCAAUGGAAACAGCUGUUGCAGUUGUGUCAUAUUGUGCACACGGUUUCUGACGGUGACCUGUUGACUAGCCGUUUAGUUUGUUUGCAUCUCUUCUUCUCCUUUCUUCCCCUUGCCAGCCUGCCCGCUGUCUCAUAAGUACCUAUGGUGGUUUGCGGGUGCUCUGCAUGGCUCCAUUUCCAAUGCUCUGUUCUUUUUGUCCGUCAUCAAGUUGAAAAUGAUGAGAACUCGUGCUCGCCUCAGUUUGGGGGUCGCUUGUUCGCAAAUCAGA